rnacentral:rRNA from 1 species
GACGAACGCUGGCGGCGUGCUUAACACAUGCAAGUCGAGCGGUAAGGCCCUUUCGGGGGUACACGAGCGGCGAACGGGUGAGUAACACGUGGGUGACCUGCCCUCAGCUCUGGGAUAAGCCUGGGAAACUGGGUCUAAUACUGGAUAUGACUCCACGGUGCAUGUCGUGGGGUGGAAAGCCUUGUGCGGCUGAGGAUGGGCCCGCGGCCUAUCAGCUUGUUGGUGGGGUGAUGGCCUACCAAGGCGACGACGGGUAGCCGGCCUGAGAGGGCGUCCGGCCACACUGGGACUGAGACACGGCCCAGACUCCUACGGGAGGCAGCAGUGGGGAAUAUUGCGCAAUGGGCGGAAGCCUGACGCAGCGACGCCGCGUGGGGAUGACGGCC